GUUAGGAAUAUUGGACAAUGGGCGCAAGCCUGAUCCAGCCAUGCCACGUGAGUGAUGAAGGCCUUCGGGUUGUAAAGCUCUUUAGCCGAUGAUUAUAAUGACUGUAGUCGGAAAAUAAGCCCCGGCUAACUUCGUGCCAGCAGCCGCGGUAAUACGAAGGGGGCGAGCGUUAUUCGGAAUCACUGGGCGUAAAGCGUGCGUAGGAGGCUUUGCAAGUUGGGAGUGAAAGCCCAGGGCUCAACCCUGGAAUUGCUAUCAAAACUGCAAGGCUCGAAUUCGGGAGAGGAUAGCGGAAUUGUCAGUGUAGCAGUGAAAUGCGUAGAUAUUGACAGGAACACCAGUGGCGUAAGCGGCUAUCUGGACCGAUAUUGACGCUGAGGCACGAAAGCGUGGGGAUCAAACAGGAUUAGAAACCCGUGUAGUCC
rnacentral:rRNA from 1 species